rnacentral:rRNA from 1 species
AGUGAACGCUGGCGGUAGGCCUAACACAUGCGAGUCGAACGGCAGCACAGUAAGAGCUUGCUCUUACGGGUGGCGAGUGGCGGACGGGUGAGGAAUACAUCGGAAUCUACUUUUUCGUGGGGGAUAACGUAGGGAAACUUACGCUAAUACCGCAUACGACCUACGGGUGAAAGCAGGGGAUCUUCGGACCUUGCGCGAUUGAAUGAGCCGAUGUCGGAUUAGCUAGUUGGCGGGGUAAAGGCCCACCAAGGCGACGAUCCGUAGCUGGUCUGAGAGGAUGAUCAGCCACGCUGGAACUGAGACACGGUCCAGACUCCUACGGGAGGCAGCAGUGGGGAAUAGUGGACAAUGGGCGCAAGCCUGAUCCAGCCAUACCGCGUGGGUGAAGAAGGCCUUCGGGUUGUAAAGCCCUUUUGUUGGGAAAGAAGAGCAGCAGGUUAAUACCCCGCUGUUCUGACGGUACCCAAAGAAUAAGCACCGGCUAACUUCG